rnacentral:snRNA from 1 species
UCUAUGGGGAUAUCUUGUCCC